UACGAAGGGGGCGAGCGUUGUUCGGAAUCACUGGGCGUAAAGGGCGCGUAGGCGGAUUGGCAAGUCGGGGGUGAAAUCCUAGAGCUUAACUCUAGAAGUGCCCUCGAUACUGUUAGUCUAGAGAUUAGGAGAGGCAAGUGGAAUUCCGAGUGUAGAGGUGAAAUUCGUAGAUAUUCGGAGGAACACCAGUGGCGAAGGCGACUUGCUGGCCUGGUUCUGACGCUGAGGCGCGAAAGCGUGGGGAGCAAACAGG
rnacentral:rRNA from 1 species